UAAAGAAAAUACAUGUGCUGCACUUAGGCCCUCGAAUCGAGUUCUCCUGCAGGUUGCUGCAGAUUUCGGUGUAUCCUGGGGUGGGAGCCUCCAGCUUUGCCUGUGGCUGCUGUCCUUUCAGAGCUAACAGAUACCUACUUACAGAUAGUAUUGUGAAAUUAAAAGAAUUUCAGCACAAGAAGGUGGCUGUUGCAUGUAAUCUUUCCUAAAGAAACCUAUUUUAGGAAUUUGGAAGAGAAACUGACAAGCUCAUCUUGAAGGGGGAGUUGAUAACCUUACUUUAUUUUUGUGGGUCCCAGGACCAUGUGGAGCUGGCUACAAAUGUCAUUUACAGGUACCAUGCAGGGAACAGAAAUAUCACUUUGGGGGAGUAUAGGUUUGGACCACUUUUCAUGAGUCUGUUAUGGGUUGGAUCUUGAGGGGCUCAUGAAAGACCAGCAUUUAUGAGAUUCCUUCUCAGAUUCCACAUCAUUCAAUAUUUUGAUGGAUAUGUUAUUUAUCAAAGGCAAAUAUAAAAGUGCUUUGGAAGUAUUGAUAGAGAUGAAAAAUCAAGCUGUGAAAUUCACCAAAUAUCCUAUGUUCUUAGUUUUGCAGUUUGCAACAAACUGAAGAGCGCUGAGUCUUUCAAAAUCUGUUCUGCAUUAACAGAAGAAGCCCCACUCAAAGGAGAGGUUCCCUCCAGGAGAGCAUCCCGUUUCUUUGUGGCGUUAGCUCUGAAUCAGAACCAAGUGGCAAAAGCUAUGUCCAUUUUUUUCUCAAACCAUGAAUCCAGAAAGCAUAGCCUGCACUAACUUAACUAUUAUAAUCCAUAUCCAGUCAAAUAUGUUGGAAACCCUGAUAGAGACACUAAAAAAAUGCUGCAGAAGGAAAUUUAUUAAAAUUUGUGAAAAGACAUGCAUUCUCAGAGGAAGUGCUGGCAAAAGUGAAGGAAAAGUGAAGGAUAUGCCUGCCCUUGUGGCCAGAUUUAAUGAGAUCUAUGGAAAACUGCACAUCAGUGGCCAGGUCACCACUUGUACUUUGGGUACUCUGCUCUGCCACACCCCCAGGGACAGGAAAUCCCAUAUGUUGCUAUUAAACAAGAGGAUGAUGAGCCAUUGGACCUUCCAGCCACUCAACCGGUCCUUUUUGGCUGAGUA
rnacentral:lncRNA from 1 species